GGCCUGCUGGCCCAAUGGCAAGGCGCUUGACUACGACCCGGGCUGCGGUCCGGUCGGUAUCAAGAGAUUGCAGGUUCGAUCCUUGCGUAGGUCA
rnacentral:tRNA from 1 species